CGGCUAACUCCGUGCCAGCAGCCGCGGUAAGACGGAGGAUGCAAGUGUUAUCCGGAAUCACUGGGCGUAAAGCGUCUGUAGGUGGUUUAAUAAGUCGACUGUUAAAUCUUGAGGCUCAACUUCAAAAUCGCAUUCGAAACUAUUAGACUUGAGUAUAGUAGAGGUAAAGGGAAUUUCUAGUGGAGCGGUGAAAUGCGUAGAUAUUAGAAAGAACACCAAUUGCGAAGGCACUUUACUUGGCUAUUACUGACACUCAGAGACGAAAGCUAGGGUAGCAAAUGGGAUUAGAUACCCCAGUAGUCCUAGCCGUAAACAAUGGAUACUAGAUGUUGAACAGAUCGACCUGUGCAGUAUCAAAGCUAACGCGUUAAGUAUCCCGCCUGGGAAGUAUGCUCGCAAGGGUGAAACUCAAAGGAAUUGACGGGGGCCCGCACAAGCGGUGGAGCAUGUGGUUUAAUUCGAUGCAACGCGAAGAA
rnacentral:rRNA from 1 species